rnacentral:rRNA from 1 species
GUAGGUGGCAAGCGUUGUCCGGAAUUAUUGGGCGUAAAGCGCGCGCAGGCGGUCCUUUAAGUCUGAUGUGAGAGCCCACGGGCUCAACCGUGGAGGGUCAUUGGAAACUGGGGGACUUGAGUACAGAAGAGGAAAGCGGAAUUCCACGUGUAGCGGUGAAAUGCGUAGAGAUGUGGAGGAACACCAGUGGCGAAGGCGGCUUUCUGGUCUGUAACUGACGCUGAGGCGCGAAAGCGUGGGGAGCAAACAGGAUUAGAUACCCUGGUAGUCCACGCCGUAAACGAUGAGUGCUAAGUGUUAGGGGGUUUCCGCCCCUUAGUGCUGCAGCUAACGCAUUAAGCACUCCGCCUGGGGAGUACGGCCGCAAAGGCUG